ACGGGAGUCAAAUGACAUAAAAUAGUAGGCUAUUCAAUAUUGCAGUCAGUAGCCUGUGUCUUUAGCAAAGGGACUUCGUGAUGUCAGCAUACUAUACAAAUACAAACAAAUGGGAGGGUCCAAAUUUUCAGGUAAUAAGAGACAGCUGACAGCGGACAGUUGUCUUUCAGUUGUCUCUGUUCAAGAGUGAUGGCGGGGUAAAGGACAAGUUUAACAUGCGAGAAACUUUGAAGGAAUAACAAAUCACUGGACCUUACGAAUACUGCAAGCUCAAAAGGCAUAUUGACUGGGCUCAACUUAAUACGGAGCAAACAAGAUAAAUAUGGACUUAGACUUGGACGAUAACAUGGUGAGCACACAAAAAGGAGUCAACAAUGUGACCUGCUGGGUAUGAAGAAAAUUUUCAUUAUAUAGAGUGACCAGCGGGUCAUCAUUAUAACAAAGGUCACACAACUUUCCAUUAAAGAGAUUUGAAUCAAGUGUAGAAGCAGCCUGUCAAUAAAUAAUAUGGCUUGCCUCAAUUGUCUCAAAAUCAAUGUUCUCCGAGUUUUUCCAUAAUAGGAACUGGAAUUAAAUCAGAUUUUCUUAUCGAAGCCUAAACAAGAAAAAUCUUUGAUAAAUCCCCAUGAGCCAUCAUUUCCAAAGAGAAACAGAUCUGUGAAAGUAGACACAACUAUUCAUUUAAUGUUCUCAGGGAAGAGCAGACUGCAUUGUUUACCUACUGUAUAAUACAGUACUUAUCAAAAUUCAGGUAAACAAGCUGUAAAUGUUAUCGAUUUCGACACAGGCAUGGAGUCUGUCACAAAGCGUCUGCUCAAGAUCGUGAUAAAAUUGUUAGAGAGCACCAAUGUAACUAAAGGCGACAUCAAUUCCUACUGCUAUCUUCAAACAAAUACUGGAGUCCUUAAUUGAACAACCACAGACGUUGACUUUUCCUCACAAUGAAUCUGACCUCCAAACUCCUGGAUCUCAUGCUGGAAGCUUCCAACCUCUCUCGCUGGCAGUUUAUACAGGAAUACUCAAUCCCGCCUUUGGUGGCAGUGCCCAGACUCCCAAGCGCCCUUCUUCCGGUCUUUGGUCUGCUGUAUGUGCUCAUCUUUGGGCUUGCGGUGGUUGGAAACGGAUCUGUGCUGGUCCUUUUAUGUCGUAGGAAGGCUCUGCAGUCUCCCAGCACUUUCUUCAUUUGCUCUCUGGCGCUCAGUGAUCUUCUCAUCUCGAUUGUAUGUGUUCCUGCAACACUCUUACAGCACUUCUUCAGCAACUGGUUGGCAGGGGAUUUUCUUUGCAAGUUAAUACCAUUCCUUCAAGUGACAGCCAUUGCGACAAGCAUGCUCACCAUGACAUGUAUCGCUGUUGAACGUUUCCAGGGUAUCCUUUAUCCCCUGCAUGUACGCAACAGCUACUUUUUAUGUCAUGCCUUCAAGAUGCUGGUAGGUGUCUGGAUGGUUGCUCUCAUAAUUGCAGCUCCCAUGUUGUUUGUCCAGAAAGUGGAGGUGAAAUAUGACUUUCUGUUUGAUGUCCACCACACUUGUUGUUUGGAAGUAUGGCCAAGCCAGCAGCAGAGGAGGGCUUACACUACCUGUCUGUCAGUUCUGGUUUUCCUAGCCCCCUUGGUGACCAUGGGCGUCUUGUACUGGAAGAUUAUAAAAGAGCUUUGGGGCAAGCACAAAGUUCAUGACGUCAUGUUUCAAACACUUCCAGGAUCUGAAAUCAACAAGAUUACCAGGAGAAAGAAACGUGCUAUAAGAAUGAUGGCCACUGUGGUGCUGCUGUUUGCCGCCUGCUGGGCUCCUUUCCAUCUGGUUUCUUUGCUGCUCGACUAUGGUCAACUAGACCUCGAUCUCGACACGGAGUUUCUCCUGGUCAGUGUGGUUCAGAUCCUGGGAUUCAGUAACUCGGUGUGCAACCCGCUGGUUUACGCUGCCCUUAAUACGACCUUCAAAAGAGACUUGCUGGCUUUGUUCAACCGAAGACGAAACACGGGUGGAGGUUGCUGCUGCUUCUGCAGUGUCUCUGGUUCCUGUCAGGUCAGGAGAAGCCACAGGCGAGUCGGCGUCUCUGCAGUGGAGUCAGUGGAACCAAGACAAGGCCUGGAGACGACGAGUAGACAAGGAGGAAUUAGAUCAUGGAGCAAACUGGCAUGGGAACCCGAGGCAGAAAGACCUAAGUCCAAUCUGUUCCCCCACAUGUUUACUGGCAUCACGUCUAAAAAGUGCUCCAGUACUAUGAUUUUAAGUGUUAUUGACCCACCGCACACAGACAGCACGUCUGGAUCUGACCAACCUCUAACGGUGAUGCUAGACGGGUGAAUGUAUUGGAUACCUGCCCGGAUACCUGGAUUUGCUCAGAUGUGAACAGACCAUCAGUGAUUCACGUCAUCACUUUGAUGCUCUUUUGGAAAUGUUGGCACAAAAGUUGGCGUGUCUGUAAACUUUGCACAUGGAAAAUCAAGGCAGUGAAAAUCUCACAUUAAAAAGACAUCAUGACUUUGCCAGCAGAAUCCUUCUCCAGCCUGAAUUUACCCUACGGAUAAUGAUAAGGAUGUUCAAACAGGGAACGCACAUCAAAUGACUUGCAGCUGCUGAUAUUCAAACCUUUGAAGAAUCUGUGGCUCGCUGCCCUUUUAAGAGCUAAGGUUAUAUAAAUUGUAAUUAUAUAUAAAUGAAAACAAUGUCUCCGACAUGUGAACAUCUCAUUUGGUCAAGGCAAAACUAGCGACAUGUUAUGGAUCUGAGCAAUUCACUGAGGAUGAUGUUCAGCCUCUUACCUUUGAUUUCUGUCUCCAUGGGGUUAGGCUCAAGUCUGCUGGAAGUCAUUGGAGUUAAAGUUUAUUCAGCAGGGGUCUGCAGAUUGCUUUGGAGAUGCCUAAAUGAGAGUUAAGUGCAUUGCAUCCACCAUGAAGUGGAGGUGGAUUUACAUUAAAGUGGCAGAAAACACAGAGGGGAAGUCUGGCAAAGGGGCCCACAGCCCACCAGAACCAUAAUAGUCUGAGGAUGUUUGAUUUUGAAUGAUAAUGUAUAUUAUAUUUGUAUAUUUGAAAGCUUGUAUAUUUUUCUAUAGGAAUACAAAUGUCUAAAUUUGAGU